rnacentral:rRNA from 1 species
CUACGGGUCGCUGCAGUGGGGAAUAUUGCGCAAUGGGCGAAAGCCUGACGCAGCAACGCCGUGUGAGGGAUGAAGGCUUUCGGGUCGUAAACCUCUGUCAGAAGGGAAGAACGGGUAUUGGUCUAAUAGGCCUUUAUUUUGACGGUACCUUCAGAGGAAGCACCGGCUAACUCCGUGCCAGCAGCCGCGGUAAUACGGAGGGUGCAAGCGUUAUUCGGAAUUACUGGGCGUAAAGCGCACGUAGGCCGCUUUGUAAGUCAGGGGUGAAAUCCCACGGCUCAACCGUGGAACUGCCUUUGAACUGCAGGGCUUGAAUCCUGGAGAGGGUGGCGGAAUUCCUGGUGUAGGAGUGAAAUCCGUAGAUAUCAGGAGGAACACCGGUGGCGAAGGCGGCCACCUGGACAGGUAUUGACGCUGAGGUGCGAAAGUGUGGGGAGCAAACAGGAUUAGAUACCCUAGUAGUC